UACGUAGGGUGCAAGCGUUAUCCGGAAUUAUUGGGCGUAAAGAGCUCGUAGGCGGUUUGUCGCGUCUGCCGUGAAAGUCCGGGGCUUAACUCCGGAUCUGCGGUGGGUACGGGCAGACUUGAGUGAUGUAGGGGAGACUGGAAUUCCUGGUGUAGCGGUGAAAUGCGCAGAUAUCAGGAGGAACACCGAUGGCGAAGGCAGGUCUCUGGGCAUUAACUGACGCUGAGGAGCGAAAGCAUGGGGAGCGAACAGG
rnacentral:rRNA from 1 species